rnacentral:rRNA from 1 species
UACAGAGGGGGGCAAGCGUUGUUCGGAAUUACUGGGCGUAAAGGGCGCGUAGGCGGCCUUCUAAGUCGAACGUGAAAUCCCCGGGCUCAACCCGGGAACUGCGUCCGAGACUGAAAGGCUCGAAUCCGGGAGAGGGAUGUGGAAUUCCAGGUGUAGCGGUGAAAUGCGUAGAUAUCUGGAGGAACAUCGGUGGCGAAGGCGGCAUCCUGGACCGGUAUUGACGCUGAGGCGCGAAAGCCAGGGGAGCAAACGGG